rnacentral:misc_RNA from 1 species
CCACUCGCUGAACGCAGGCUCUUUGGCUGCUUUGCAGCGACGCCCAGUGCACACACCGAAAACACAUCCAUAGAGCGACGAGGUGCGCCGUACAACGGGCGGGCAUGCCCGGUCGUCUGAAGGCGGCUCCAUCGGAGGUGGCGUUUACCAGGCACUUCAUCUUAUCUCCUCACCGCCGGCAGCCAGUGCACUGCCACGCUCGCCACUCUCCCGUACGCACACCUUACCCACCUUACACACAGCCGUCAUCAGACGCAGCGCCUGGCGGCUCGUCGUCAUCGCAUCUGCACCAACGCCACCAUUACCAUGACUCUUUUACUCACCACAGCGCCGAUGGCUCCCCCACGAAGUGUAGGGCAACGUUGUCCGUGUUGGCACCGCCAACUCCCGCCGCGGACGCUGCCCAUGCGCGCCACAUCAAGCAUGUGCCUUGCUCCCGGGCUCACUGCCUACACAGUGCGGCAGACGCGUCAGCGCAGCAGCAGCAGGGGCCUUCUGAAGCGCAGGCACUGACGCUGAGGUCACGGCGGUGGGCAACCGAUGGCGCCGCGGUAGAGGAUCGAACACUCGAGGCAGAGCUCGCUCGUCACCGCCGCGGUCCGCAGCUGCCACCGCCGUCCUCACCGUUGCUGGACUCACCCUCAAGGACGGCCACUCCGACGGCCGACAUCACGCACUUUGACGCAUCGCCUUCGCGGCCACUGCCAUCGCGUCGGCCCGCCUCACGACUGCAGCGACUCCUGCGCAAGCUGGAGGCGGAGGCGCAUCGAACGGGCUGCACCGUGACAGAUGCUGCUGAUGGUCAACGAAACACCGUUGAGUUGUACCAAGCACUGUUCCUGCAGGCCUUGGCGGACAGUGCCGCCUGGGAGCGCCAUGCACGCGUCCUUGAGGCCAGCGCCCAGGCCUCUGCAAAACGUGAGGCUCAUCUUAAACGGCAGCUGCGGCACCUGCGGAGCAGUGUUGAGCUGCUUGUGGCUUAUGUGAAGGGGUCUGAGCGGGUGAUGGAUGCCCUCGGCAGAGGGACCGCCUGUGGCACCGGUGCGUCGACUCAGACGGAGAGGGCGGCGCCGGACGGCACUCCACCAAUGUCGCCGGGCGCACUGGCCGCGUCAGCAGCAGCAGCAGAGACAAUGAUGGAUGUAGCGUCAUCUUCUCCAUGGAGUCCCACAUCGCUGUCCGCCGUGAGUGAACUCGUACGAGGCUCCUUCGGCCGCUCACUGAACCUCGUCUACGACAUCAGUGGCAGUGACAGCCGACAUGGCGAGGACGAUGCCGCCGUGCGGAAGAUGGAUGGCCGGUCGCACGCAGCAGUCGUCAAGGGACCUGGUGACUUGCAUGAGCUUGAUGGCUUUCAUUCGGAAUCCCUUGCCCCUGCGCACGAAGCUGUGGAGGCGCCGUGGGAUCAGCCCUCAUGGGAUGGCAGCGGGGACGAUGUCGGUACCGGUGUGCACACUCGAUACAGGGCGAGCGCGGCGUGGGGGGACAAGGACAGAGGGGACGCGGCCCAGAGGUUACGCCGCGGCGGCACAGAAGCGUUUGAGACGGGCACGCCGUGGAGCCGGACGCUGCCAGCUGCGAUUCGUGCUUCUGGAAUGGCGCAUCGUGAGUCUACGCCAUCGCUUCUGCACCGUGGCGCAUCUGCACAGGCUACUGCAGUUCUCGAGGGCGGCUCGUCUCUCCAUGCCACCUCGCCGUCUCCGCUUUCCUCAUUGCUUGGCCAUGCUGCGACAAUGAACGCCGCCAUGGAAACAGAGUCGGUGACGCACGAGAGUGCUCCCCUCGCUGCUGCUGCCGCUCCUCAGGUUGCACCGACGUCUGCCGCUCAAAGCCUGCUGGAGCUUCUGCGCAGUCGAGACACGUCGACUCGGGGGACGGCGGCGUUGGGCCAGGGACUUGCCGACACAUCUCUGGGUACUAUUUCCAAGGCAACGCCACAGAGUGCUGCCGCGCACCAGAACGAUGACCACGAGGUCACGGUCGCCGAGGCGACACACAGCCACAGCUCCAGCGAUGUUGCGCAUCUGAAUCGUGCGGUGCCGGCGAGGGCAUUAUCAUCGUUUUCUUCAGCCUCUCGACCCCCUCUGACACCGAGUUGCUCUUCGAUUCCACGACAGAGCUCCGGCCCAAAAGGCGAGGCGCUGCCCUCGCAUCCUGCGUCGCUGCCGUCGUUGGUGCCCUCGUCGCCGCCACGGCCCUACUCCCACUCGCUCGCACCCUCGUCACCCCAGAUGUCACGCGUCGGUGGCAGCGGCGGCAGCAAUCGUGCGCCACCUGGCAUAGAGGCUGCUGCUGCCGCGCCCAUCGCGGUGGCGGAGCUCGUUCACACGUCGUCCCCUGCUGUAUUGUCUUUCCCACCUCAUCAGGCGUUCACAAAUCUCGCUGCCACGCAUCAACGCGACGGCAGCGUGGCGGCGCAGCCCGAUGACGGCCCGGCGUACUCGUCUAACGACUGGGAAUUCCUCGAGACGGCGAAUUUCGCUGACAGCUUUGGUGCGUCGUCGUCAUCCUCACCCACGAGGAGGCUGGAUGAAGCACGCGGCGGACAUCACAGGCUCGCGAGCAGCGACAGCAGCAGUGACACGAACGGUGACAAGAUGACAGACGAAAGGGACGAGCUGGCUAAUGGCGACGGCUACACAGAGUGGCGCACACAGCUGGAGGCACAUCUGAACCACGAAUGGGUCUCGGGCAUGUGAGGCUUCCAUGUUUGCGAUUUCUCUUUCUGUGUGUGCGUGUCGCUGGCGGAGACGCGGCAUAUGGGCAUCGUACACGCAGACCUCGCAGGCACGUUCACGGCACUUUUCUUUUCGGUGGCGUUUUCCCUCCCUUGAAUGUCUGCGCAGGCAUAUGUAAAGGGGACAGCAUCAAGGGGUAGAUGGAACUCAGCACGCGUACAAUGACGCACGCUUACCUGUUACUCAGCAGAGUAGAGGUUGCCGUGCGCGCGGAGAGUACGACAGCGCUUCUCUUUUCUUCAGUUUGUUCUUGAUGUGUUUCCGUAGAUGCGCACCGAAACACACACACGCACACACACAAACAAACACGCAUGUGCAUGCCGAGCACGUGUGCAUGCAUGUACAUGGGCCACUACCAUUACAUCUGCGAGCUCUCUGCAGCGACGUGAGCGCGACACUUGGAGAGGAGGCUGGCGUGGUGGCACUUGGAGGAGCGGAGAGCCGCUCUCUACUCUUCAGCCUCGAGCAUUUCAGGAGACACCAACGGCGGAUCGCGGAGCAGAGCUGCAUUGAUGCGCUAAUCGAGGCGGCUCGAAAGCCAUCGAAAGAGAGACACGUGAGCAGCACGACUGACAGGCUGAUGAUGCGACAGCCCGGCCCGUUUCUCGUCUCUUUCUCUCCCUCUUCUGGCGCUCUGCAGUGCUUGGUCCCGGCACUCAUCCCUUCGCUGCUCCGUGUUCGGUUGCGCACGCGUGCACGCUCGCACCUACAAAAAACGCGAGACAUGUUCCACUACGUAUGCAAUGCACAGCAACGUUGUUUGAGCCGCCCUGCACAUCUUUUCGGCUCCUCCGAUGGUGCCAAUUCGUUACCUCUUCCCUUCCCUCCUGCCGUUUUCUACCGACACCCCCUCUCCACACAAAUACGCGGGGAAG